rnacentral:rRNA from 1 species
UAAACUAGGAUUAGAUACCCUAUUAUUUUAAAUGUAAAUUUUAUGUACUAAAUUAGUAUCAGUUAUGUUCUUGAAAAUUAAAAAAUUUGGCGGUGUUUUAGUCUUUUCAGAGGAAUCUGCCCCGUAAUUGAUAGUCCACGAUAAAUUUUACUUUAUUUAUUAGUUUACAUAUCGUCGUAGUUUAAAUAUUUUAAUAGAAUUUUAAUAUUUGGGAUUUUUAAUUAAAAAAUAAAUCAGAUCAAGGUGUAGUUUAUAGUAAAGAAGAGGUGGGUUACCUUAAAUAUAUUUAAGGAUAUUUUUUUUAAAAAAAUUUUGAAUAUGGAUUUGAUAGUAAUUUUAAAUAUUUUUUUAAAAUGAUUAUAGCUCUAAAAUAUGCACACAUCGCCCGUCGCUCUUAA